rnacentral:rRNA from 1 species
CCCGCUGAACUUAAGCAUAUCAAUAAGCGGAGGAAAAGAAACCAACAGGGAUUGCCCUAGUAACGGCGAGUGAAGCGGCAACAGCUCAAAUUUGAAAUCUGGCUUUCGGGCCCGAGUUGUAAUUUGUAGAGGAUACUUUUGAUGCGGUGCCUUCCGAGUUCCCUGGAACGGGACGCCAUAGAGGGUGAGAGCCCCGUCUGGUUGGAUGCCAAAUCUCUGUAAAGUUCCUUCGACGAGUCGAGUAGUUUGGGAAUGCUGCUCUAAAUGGGAGGUAUAUGUCUUCUAAAGCUAAAUAUUGGCCAGAGACCGAUAGCGCACAAGUAGAGUGAUCGAAAGAUGAAAAGCACUUUGAAAAGAGAGUUAAAAAGUACGUGAAAUUGUUGAAAGGGAAGCGUUUAUGACCAGACUUGGACUUGGUUAAUCAUCUGGGGUUCUCCCCAGUGCACUUUUCCAGUUCAGGCCAGCAUCAGUUUUCGCCGGGGGAUAAAGGCUUCGGGAAUGUAGCUCUCUUCGGGGAGUGUUAUAGCCCGUUGUGUAAUACCCUGGCGGAGACUGAGGUUCGCGCUUCUGCAAGGAUGCUGGCGUAAUGGUCAUCAACGACCCGUCUUGAAACACGGACCAAGGAGUCGUCUUCGUAUGCGAGUGUUCGGGUGUCAAACCCCUACGCGUAAUGAAAGUGAACGCAGGUGAGAGCUUCGGCGCAUCAUCGACCGAUCCUGAUGUUCUCGGAUGGAUUUGAGUAAGAGCAUACGGGGCCGGACCCGAAAGAAGGUGAACUAUGCCUGUGUAGGGUGAAGCCAGAGGAAACUCUGGUGGAGGCUCGCAGCGGUUCUGACGUGCAAAUCGAUCGUCAAAUAUGGGCAUGGGGGCGAAAGACUAAUCGAACCUUCUAGUAGCUGGUUUCCGCCGAAGUUUCCCUCAGGAUAGCAGUGUUGAACUCAGUUUUAUGAGGUAAAGCGAAUGAUUAGGGACUCGGGGGCGCUAUAUUGCCUUCAUCCAUUCUCAAACUUUAAAUAUGUAAGAAGCCCUUGUUGCUUAAUUGAACGUGGGCAUUCGAAUGUAUCAACACUAGUGGGCCAUUUUUGGUAAGCAGAACUGGCG